rnacentral:rRNA from 1 species
UACGGGGGGGGCAAGCGUUGUUCGGAAUUAUUGGGCGUAAAGGGCGCGUAGGCGGUGCGGCAAGUCUCCUGUGAAAUCUCCGAGCUUAACUCGGAAAGGUCAACUGAUACUGUGCGACUAGAGUGCGGAAGGGGCAACUGGAAUUCUUGGUGUAGCGGUGAAAUGCGUAGAUAUCAUGAGGAAUACCAGAGGCGAAGGCGGCUACCUGGACAAUUGCUGACGCUCAGGCACGAAAGCGUGGGGAGCAAAAGGG